GUAUUUGCGUUUCAACUGUAAAUUGUUUUCAAGAAUUUUUUAAUAAAAAUGAAGUUUGUCUGUUAGUUUAUGUUUUGAUUGUUUCAAUUUCAAAAUUAUUCAGUGUUGUCCAUGUACUAGUUGUUAUAUAAAAAUUGUUGUCCUCUUUACGGUGUCUAGUAGCGACAUUUUAUCCUCCAACCAUUAUACAUAUUUAACUUACUAUUUUUUUUUUAGAUGGCAGUACAGCAGAUCAUUCAAUACACGCUGAGACAUGAAUUCACAUUUCUACCUCUAUGCUAAAUAUCAAUAUCCUACGUUGAAAAUGUACUUGACGAUACUGCUAAUAAUAAUGGUUUUGUGCAACGUGCGUGUAAUGGAUGGCAGUACAGCAGAUCAUUCAAUACACGCUGAGACAUGAAUUCACAUUUCUACCUCUAUGCUAAAUAUCAAUAUCCUACGUUGAAAAUGUACUUGACGAUACUGCUAAUAAUAAUGGUUUUGUGCAACGUGCGUGUAAUGGAUGGCAGUACAGCAGAUCAUUCAAUACACGCUGAGACAUGAAUUCACAUUUCUACCUCUAUGCUAAAUAUCAAUAUCCUACGUUGAAAAUGUACUUGACGAUACUGCUAAUAAUAAUGGUUUUGUGCAACGUGCGUGUAAUGGAUGGCAGUACAGCAGAUCAUUCAAUACACGCUGAGACAUGAAUUCACAUUUCUACCUCUAUGCUAAAUAUCAAUAUCCUACGUUGAAAAUGUACUUGACGAUACUGCUAAUAAUAAUGGUUUUGUGCAACGUGCGUGUAAUGGAUGGCAGUACAGCAGAUCAUUCAAUACACGCUGAGACAUGAAUUCACAUUUCUACCUCUAUGCUAAAUAUCAAUAUCCUACGUUGAAAAUGUACUUGACGAUACUGCUAAUAAUAAUGGUUUUGUGCAACGUGCGUGUAAUGGAUGGCAGUACAGCAGAUCAUUCAAUACACGCUGAGACAUGAAUUCACAUUUCUACCUCUAUGCUAAAUAUCAAUAUCCUACGUUGAAAAUGUACUUGACGAUACUGCUAAUAAUAAUGGUUUUGUGCAACGUGCGUGUAAUGGAUGGCAGUACAGCAGAUCAUUCAAUACACGCUGAGACAUGAAUUCACAUUUCUACCUCUAUGCUAAAUAUCAAUAUCCUACGUUGAAAAUGUACUUGACGAUACUGCUAAUAAUAAUGGUUUUGUGCAACGUGCGUGUAAUGGAUGGCAGUACAGCAGAUCACUCAAUACAUGCUGAGACAUGAAUUCACAUUUCUACCACUAUGCAAAAUAUCAACAUCCUACGUUGAAAAUGUACUAGACGAUACUGCUAAUAAUAAGGGUUUUGUGCAACGUGCGUGUAAUGGAUGGCAGUACUGCAGAUCACUGGAGGCAUGCUGAGACAUGAAUUAGCAUUUCUAUCACUAGGGAAAGUUACAACAUUUUCCGUUGAAAAUGGAAUAGAAGAUGGCAGUAUAUCAGAUCAAUCAAGGCACGCUGAGACACGAAUUCACAUUUCUACCACCAAGGAAAGAAUCAACAUGCUAUGUUGAAAAUGGACUAGAAGAUACUGAUAAUAAUAUUGGAUUUAUGCAAUGUGCGUGCAAUGGUUAUUGAAUAUAAUUGAUUCUAAAUUAAUAGCUGUGAAACAAUUGAGAUUUGUUAAAUAUCUGAAUAAAAUAAUA